UACGAAGGGGGCUAGCGUUGCUCGGAAUCACUGGGCGUAAAGCGCACGUAGGCGGAUUGCUAAGUCAGGGGUGAAAUCCUGGAGCUCAACUCCAGAACUGCCCUUGAUACUGGCGGUCUCGAGUCCGGGAGAGGUGAGUGGAACUGCGAGUGUAGAGGUGAAAUUCGUAGAUAUCGCAAGAACACCAGUGGCGAAGGCGGCUCACUGGCCCGGUACUG
rnacentral:rRNA from 1 species